AACAAGAAAUGCCGAGUGGUGAUAACAAACGUCGACGCUUGUCUAGUUUUCUUUAGGCUUUAGCGCCCCUUAGUGGUAACGCUUGUUCAUUACAAACGUGACUGCCGUUACAAAACUCGCUUCUUGUGUAACUUGAAUCAGCUGUUCGGUAACAGCAGUUGCGUGUCUAUGCCUCACGUGUGGUGCACGCUUUCUGGGGUUGGACGUAAGAAAAAUACAUAGAAAAACUUUACAAUCACCUUCCAGUUGAAGAUGCCUCAAAGUGGAGAAGAUGACGGCGAGCUGGUCGUGGUCCGAAAACUCCUAAGAGAAGUGCUGCUGGGUCGGGAGGAUCCGGAGGGGUUCUUCGCGAUGUGUCUGUCCAUCCUGGGUCACCAGGAGACCCGCGCUCGGUUUCUGCACGUCGUCCAGCCUCUGUCGUCGGCCAACCGCUCCUUGCACGCCACACUCGUCUCCAUCCAUGAGGAAUAUUUCGCCAAGGCUGAAGAUGAUGAGUUGGAACUAGCAGUGACCCUGUCUCUUCUUGAUGCACAAGAUCACCCAAGAACCCGACCACAGACAUUUGAUGGGGCAUCUAAUCUAAACGGCCAGUCAAAGGAUGGAGGAAGUAGAACCCUCGAGAAAGAUACAUGCCCGAACCUGUCUGGUACAAGUCAGACUGUUAUUGCCCAGCAAGGCAUGGGCAGAAAAGAUGACAUGGACCAGUCGGAGAAAAUAAAACACUCCAAAAGCAGACGACAGCGUCGGAAAGCGGCAGCCCAGCACGUUGUUGGUUUGCCCCGAUCUCCAUCGGGGGCGGCGCCGGUACUGGUUUGGGUUCGCAGGGACUUGAGGCUGUGUGACAACCCGGCUCUUGUUGGCUCCCUGGAGUGCGGUGCCCCCGUCAUACCUGUGUUCAUCUGGAGCCCUGAAGAGGAAGAGGGGCCAGGAAUGACUGUGGCUAUGGGAGGAGCUUGUAAAUACUGGCUUCAUCAAGCUCUGAUCUCCUUUCGGUCAUCUUUGGAGGGUAUUGGCAGUCAUCUGGUCUUCCUGGAGGCGACCGGUGUCGGAGCCAGCUCUCUACAUAUGCUGAAAGAGCUGGUGAAGGAGACCGGGGCCCGAACAGUGCUGGCCAAUGCCCUCUACGAGCCCUGGCUAAAGGAGCGGGAUGACAAGGUGGUAUCGACGCUGCAAAAAGACGGGCUCCAGUGCAAGAUGUUCCACUCCUACUGCACUAGAGACCCUUACUCUGUCAGCACGGAGGGCGUGGGACUCAGAGGAAUUGGAUCUGUGUCUCACUUCAUGAGCUGCUGCAGACAAAAUCCAUCAGGCUCCACAUCCGGUGCUCCGUUGGAUCCGCCCACGUCUCUGCCCACACCUUCCAGCUGGCCUCAAGGCAUCACUCUGGACACACUAGACCUGGCACGGAUGCCACGCAGGAAGGACGGCACCACGAUUGAUUGGGCAGAGAACAUUCGCAAGUCCUGGGAUUUCAGCGAAGAGGGCGCUCAUGCCAGGCUAGAAGCUUUUCUCCACGAUGGUGUGUACAGAUAUGACAAAGAGUCAGGCAGAGCUGAUGCCCCCAACACCAGUACUCUAUCGCCGUACCUCCACUUCGGUCAGCUCAGCCCUCGCUGGCUCUUGUGGGACGCCAAAGGGGCAAGGUGUCGACCUGCAAAAUUCCAACGCAAACUGGCAUGGAGGGAUUUGGCAUACUGGCAGCUCACAUUGUUUCCUGACCUUCCCUGGGAAUCUCUCAGACCCCCGUACAAGGCACUGCGCUGGAGCAGCAAUGGCGAUCACCUGAAGGCUUGGCAGCGAGGCCGUACAGGCUACCCGCUGGUGGACGCAGCCAUGAGGCAGCUGUGGCUGACGGGCUGGAUGAACAACUAUGCCAGGCACGUGGUGGCAUCUUUCCUCAUAGCGUACCUCCAUCUGCCCUGGCAGGAAGGUUACCGCUGGUUUCAGGACACACUGGUGGAUGCCGACGUUGCCAUCGACGCCAUGAUGUGGCAGAAUGGUGGCAUGUGCGGACUGGAUCACUGGAACUUUGUCAUGCAUCCCGUCGAUGCCGCCAUGACCUGCGACCCGUAUGGCAACUAUGUUAGGAAAUGGUGUCCUGAAAUUGCAGAGCUACCUGAUGAGCUCAUUCACAAACCAUGGAAAUGCCCGGCGUCCAUGCUACGACGUGCAGGUGUGGUGCUGGGGCAAACAUACCCUGAAAGAAUAGUUACAAACCUGGAGGAGAGGCGUAGUCGCUCUCUUCAAGACGUAGCUGUAGUACGAAGACAACACGAAGAAUACGUGGACAAACGCUCGGGCUGCGACUUGGUGCCUCUUCCGCCUCGCCUGGUCUCUGAGGCCCUGGGCUUAGCUCACCCGACUACAGAAAAACAGUUCCUCCUUCCAGUUAUCACACGCAUGGAAUUCAAGCAUCAGAUGGAUGACCCAGACGCGGACGGCGCCGCCAAUCCUUACAACGCCGUCCUCAAGGGCUACGUCAGCCGCAAGAGGGACGAGACGGUGGCAUUCCUCAACGAGCGAGACUUCACAGCCAGUGUCUUGCACGAAGGAGCUCAGAGGAGGGAGAGGCUGGAGAGCGACCAUCGCCGCAUGGAGGGGCUCCCGCCCACACGGUUCCCACCACGGGGAAGAGCUAGACGCGCCACAAACGCAAAGGACCGCUUCUCGAGCCUACCAGGUGGGGCUGUUCUUACUACACACAGGUGAUCCAGAGCCACAACCCCCAGGUUCAGUCCCCCCAGGAUUUUUCAAUCUAUUUUUUGUGAUUUCUAACUGUUGUACUUUACAAAAAAAGUUUAAAAAAAAAUUAUAUGGGUAUUAUGAUAUGAUAGUUUUAG